rnacentral:rRNA from 1 species
GACGAACGCUGGCGGCGUGCCUAAUACAUGCAAGUCGAACGAAGCUGUUUUAACUGGUGCUUGCACCGACUUAAACAACUGAGUGGCGAACGGGUGAGUAACACGUGGGUAACCUGCCCCAAAGCGGGGGAUAACAUUUGGAAACAGAUGCUAAUACCGCAUAACCACAGAAACCACAUGGUUUCUGUGUCAAAGAUGGUUUCGGCUAUCACUUUGGGAUGGACCCGCGGCGUAUUAGCUAGUUGGUAAGGUAAUGGCUUACCAAGGCAAUGGUACGUAGCCGAACUGAGAGGUUGAGCGGCCACAUUGGGACUGAGACACGGCCCAAACUCCUACGGGAGGCAGCAGUAGGGAAUCUUCCACAAUGGACGAAAGUCUGAUGGAGCAACGCCGCGUGAGUGAAGAAGGUUUUCGGAUCGUAAAACUCUGUUGUCAGAGAAGAACGUGUGCGAGAGUAACUGCUCGUGCAGUGACGGUAUCUGGCCAGAAAGCCACGGCUAACUACGUGCCAGCAGCCGCCGUAA